UACAGAGGUCUCAAGCGUUGUUCGGAUUCAUUGGGCGUAAAGGGUGCGUAGGCGGCUCGGUAAGUCGGGUGUCAAAUCCUCAGGCUCAACCUGGGGCACCACCCGAUACUGCUGUGGCUAGAGUCCGGUAGGGGAGCGUGGAAUUCCUGGUGUAGCGGUGAAAUGCGCAGAUAUCAGGAGGAACACCAGCGGCGAAGGCGGCGCUCUGGGCCGGAACUGACGCUGAGGAGCGAAAGCAUGGGUAGCGAACAGG
rnacentral:rRNA from 1 species